rnacentral:tRNA from 1 species
GCAGAGGUAGUUUAGUGGUAGAAUUCUUGCCUUUCAUGCGGGAGACCUGGGUUGGACUCCUGGCCAAUGCC